rnacentral:lncRNA from 1 species
AGUUUUAUUCAUCCUCAAUGGGGAAAAAUGGUUGAUUACAAUCACUAAUCAUGAGCCUAUUAUUUAUACUAAUACUAGAUCAUCACAUUAGUUGAUGAUUCUCUUAGGCCCUAACCAACUAACAACUCCCUAACUGACUCUAACACACUUUAACAACCUAGGUGAAACAAACACUAACUGAAUCUAACAAACUCUAUUAACAAACUAACUAACUUGCUUCUCAAGCAAUUAGUUACACUUUCACUUUUU